rnacentral:rRNA from 1 species
UACGAGAGGUCCAAACGUUAUUCGGAAUUACUGGGCUUACAGAGUUCGUAGGCGGCUCUACAAGUGAGGUGUGAAAGCCCUCGGCUCAACCGAGGAACUGCGCUUCAAACUGUAGAACUAGAGGGAGAUAGAGGUGAGCAGAACUGAUGGUGGAGCGGUGAAAUGCGUUGAUAUCAUCAGGAAUACCGGAGGCGAAGGCGGCUCACUGGGCCUCUUCUGACGCUGAGGAACGAAAGCUAGGGGAGCAAACGGG